UCUGUUUUGAUCUCUGUGCUGAAGUGCACAGGGCAGAGCAGUUCCGGUGUGUGUCCUGUCACUUGUCUCUGGUGCACUCUGUGUUCUUUGGGUCUCUCGGUCCUUUCUUCUCAUCAAAAGCUCUCUCUCCCUCUCCUGUCCCCUAGUUUGUCACGUCCUGUCCCGUGUCACGGGUAUCUGCACAUAUUCGUCCCGGAGCUGCUCUGCCCUGCUGCAUAGCCUGUAAUAGCACAAGUCCUGUGGACUUGAAAUUUGUAAUGCAGGGUGUCUUUGGGCUCUAGACUGGAUUAAGAGAUUGCCAUAACAUGUUUGGUACUGUUAAGUUUUUCUGCAGCUGUUUGACACUAGUCCUAUCUUCCUUUCAGAUGCAGACAGUUCAAAUCUGUGGCAGUGGGUUCCAGUCCUGGGUGAGGAACAUCCAAUGAGCAGGUCAGUCAUUGUUUGCAUUUGCAGGGGAAGCCUUAAUGGUGACUGUGUUACAGCGGUGUUCUUUGCCUUUAUUUUUAGGAAGUCCAGGCAGAUAGCAGCAGUCAAGGCCCAUUGUGCCAGGGAAUCCACUGCGAGUAUGCCAAGCCCUUGUCACCAGCUGGCCGAUGGACCGGGUUUCCUGCACUUAUGAGCCCUCUGGAAGUAUUACAGGACCCUGUGAUGAAGCCUACCGGUUUUGUAUUUCAAGGUCCCCUCCUGGUAGCCCAGAGGAAUGGCUGAGGAAUUGUGGUGUACCCUGUGAUGAAGGCGUCGGCCUCCUCCAAGCACGCCUGAGGUGCGUGGCCCGAGGUUUCUUAGGACACG